AGGGUCUUACUUACAGUGUGACAUGGUGGACUCCAGCUCUUCCCAGCAGACUUUCCCAGAACAGCAUCCCGUGGUUGAGGAAACCAAUUCCCUCCUGUUGACACCAUCGGUGCAGCCAUGCAUUCAUCUCCAGGAUGCAUGUGUCCCUGCC